AACAUACUCCCUUCGUUUGGGAUUACUUGUCUCGGAUAUGGAUGUAUCUAGAACUACAAUAUGUCUAGAUACAUCCAUUUCUGCGACAAGUAAUCCGAACGGAGGGAGUACUUA
rfam:Triticum aestivum genome assembly, contig: Triticum_aestivum_CS42_TGACv1_scaffold_471714_6AL